ACGAACGCUGGCGGCGUGCUUAACCCCUGCAAGUCGAACGGUAAGGCUCCAGCUUGCUGGGGUACACGAGUGGCGAACGGGUGAGUAACACGUGGGUGACCUGCCCUGCACUUCGGGAUAAGCCUGGGAAACUGGGUCUAAUACCGGAUAGGACCGCACCGUGAGGGUGUGGUGGAAAGUUUUUUCGGUGUGGGAUGGGCCCGCGGCCUAUCAGCUUGUUGGUGGGGUAAUGGCCUACCAAGGCGGCGACGGGUAGCCGGCCUGAGAGGGUGGACGGCCACAUUGGGACUGAGACACGGCCCAGACUCCUACGGGAGGCAGCAGUGGGGAAUAUUGCACAAUGGGCGGAAGCCUGAUGCAGCGACGCCGCGUGGGGGAUGACGGCCUUCGGGUUGUAAACUCCUUUCACCAUCGACGAAGGGUUUCUGACGGUAGAUGGAGAAGAAGCACCGGCUAACUACGUG
rnacentral:rRNA from 1 species